rnacentral:lncRNA from 1 species
AGACUGUACCUAUAACCUUGCAGGAGGUGCUGUGUGACUCUUUUUGGCAGUGCUUCCUUGCUCCCCUGGAGCUGGCUGGCAGCAGGAGCUGAACCCCAGGAGCUGAACCUCAGCAGCUAGCACAGCAGGAGGGGCAGCAGGGACAGGCAGACCUAUUUCUGCAAGCAAGCUGCUGUCUCCAGCGUUGUAAAGCUGGUCAGCUCCCCGAUGAAUGCGCUUAGUGGGGGCCUGGCGAUGCUGGUGCCUUCUUCUACCGUUGCGAAAGCACAGAGAUGUGCUCCGUAUGCAGCUCCAAGGGGCUUAUGCAGGGAAAAACUCUCAUGGGAGUAGGAGGGAAGAAGAAGUUCAAAGGCUUGUUGAGUAGAGGCUGCAGAAAGAGGCUUGGUGGGGUAUUAAUAAUAGAUUUCACAGUGGGAAGAAAGUAAGAAUUUUUGAAUUUGGGAAAAAAUUAGUAUCUACUUAAACCAUUUUCAUUAUGGAGUUCUGCCUGCUUGCUGGCUAAAUUCCCACUCCCGCAGUUUGUAUGACAGUAGCAAUAUCACACAGUGUCUUUUGUAUUUAAGAUCAGGAAUUACUGUUUUCUCACAGUAUUGACACAGGCCUGGGAAGAAGUCAAGUCUUCCAAGCUGAAUCUUCACUCAAUUGUUUGAAAAUCAACCCAGCUGCCUAUAGCUUCCACUUGCCGUCAAGGAGCAACCUGGAAUGACUUGUGGCGCUCUCGAAUUGUCCCUCGCGACGUGUGAGACUCACGGUCUGAAGUGGAUGGAACCACCUGCCCAGGUGCUGCCUGGCUGCUUCUGCUUCGCAGGCCAAGCAGGGGAAGAGGUAACACAGGUGUUCAAAGGGGACUGAGGUACUUCCUUGAAGUUGAGUGCUGCCAGCCUAGGUGCCAUCUCCACUCUGGGAAUGAUUCCCUUCAGCAACGAAUCUCUGCCCGCAGGGCCCAAGGAUGCCUUGCUUCCUUGUCAGAAGUUUCUGGCUCCAGGAAUAAGUCUCCACAUGGCUCAGUGACACUUGCCCAGUCCAGGACACCACCUCAUGGGCCUCACUGAGGCUAAUACCCUUGCAGAGAAGAAGGCAUUGCCAAGGCUG